CACGUAGGGUCCGAGCGUUGUCCGGAAUUACUGGGCGUAAAGCGCGCACAGGCGGCCCGACACAUCGGCGGUGAAAGCCCCCCGCUUAACGGGGGAGGGUCCGUCGUGAUGGUCGGGCUGGAGGCAGGGAGAGGGCGGUGGAAUUCCGGGUGUAGUGGUGAAAUGCGUAGAGAUCCGGAGGAACACCAGUGGCGAAGGCGGCCGCCUGGACCUGACCUGACGCUGAGGCGCGAAGGCGCGGGGAGCGAACGGG
rnacentral:rRNA from 1 species